CAUACGGCUCAGUAACACGUAGUCAACAUGCCCAGGGGACGUGGAUAACCUCGGGAAACUGAGGAUAAACCGCGAUAGGUCACUACUUCUGGAAUGGGUAAUGACCCAAACCUAUAUGGCCCCUGGAUUGGACUGCGGCCGAUCAGGCUGUUGGUGAGGUAAUGGCCCACCAAACCUGUAACCGGUACGGGCUCUGAGAGGAGGAGCCCGGAGAUGGGCACUGAGACAAGGGCCCAGGCCCUAUGGGGCGCAGCAGGCGCGAAACCUCUGCAAUAGGCGAAAGCUUGACAGGGUUACUCUGAGUGAUUUCCGUUAAGGAGAUCUUUUGGCACCUCUAAAAAUGGUGCAGAAUAAGGGGUGGGCAAGUCUGGUGUCAGCCGCCGCGGUAAUACCAGCACCCCGAGUGGUCGGGACGUUUAUUGGGCCUAAAGCAUCCGUAGCCGGUUCUACAAGUCUUCCGUUAAAUCCACCUGCUCAACAGAUGGGCUGCGGAAGAUACUAUGGAGCUAGGAGGCGGGAGAGGCAAGCGGUACUCGAUGGGUAGGGGUAAAAUCCGUUGAUCCAUUGAAGACCACCAGUGGCGAAGGCGGCUUGCCAGAACGCGCUCGACGGUGAGGGAUGAAAGCUGGGGGAGCAAACCGGAUUAGAUACCCGGGUAGUCCCAGCUGUAAACGAUGCA
rnacentral:rRNA from 1 species